UAUUCAAGUAGGUUUAAUUUU
rnacentral:piRNA from 1 species